UAGCUUAGUGGAUAGAGUGUCUGUUUCCUAAGCAGAAGACCAUAGGUUCGACACCUAC
rnacentral:tRNA from 1 species